rnacentral:lncRNA from 1 species
GCCUGAGGCAGAACUUAAAAGAUUCUACAAGUGCCUCUCAACGUCUCUAAGCAGAUCCAUGUACCCAGGCUUAAGUAAAGGGUAGUUCCAGGACCUCUACUAAUGCCGCUCCUUGAACUUGAAUCACUCCAACAAUCUGAUACAAAACAGCUGGAGCCAGGACUGAGGCUGAAAGCAGAGGCAAACCAUAAGUUCUGGAAAGCCUGACACAGACUCUCAGUUUGCUGAUUAGUACUGUCUGUUUUCUUCACUUCCCCUGCACAAAAGCAGUGAAAAUCUAACUUCAAGCUGAGACACACAAAGAUUCAGGAACCAAUUCUGCAAGAAGCUUCAGCGCAUCUAAGUAUGCAUGCUAGCCAUCCUUGGCCCAAAGUCAACAUUUCACCUCAGUGCUGAGCUGAGAUCCUGACCCUGACCUUCAGAUUGACUUCUCAGAAGCUCACACACAUCAUUGCAGCUCUGGCUUUCACUAACUGUGGGGAGCUCAGGGGUGUGGGCAAGGUCGUGUAGGUGCAGUUUCCCCACACUUUUCCUUGCUAUGGGAGAGAGAGCUCUAUGCACAAUUCAUGCAGAGAUUUCAUGAAAAACAAGGCAAGAGUGCUCUUACUGAGUGAUUGUAAAAGUAGCCUGGAAUAAAUAAAAUGUGCCAGUUUGCA